rnacentral:rRNA from 1 species
UACGGAGGGUGCAAGCGUUAAUCGGAAUUACUGGGCGUAAAGCGCGCGUAGGCGGCUAGUUAAGCUAGAUGUGAAAUCCCUGGGCUCAACCUGGGAACUGCAUUUAGAACUGACUGGCUAGAGUGCAGAAGAGGAGUGUGGAAUUUCCGGUGUAGCGGUGAAAUGCGUAGAGAUCGGAAGGAACAUCAGUGGCGAAGGCGACACUCUGGUCUGACACUGACGCUGAGGUGCGAAAGCGUGGGUAGCAAACAGG